GUUAAGCGACUAAGCGUACACGGUGGAUGCCCUGGCAGUCAGAGGCGAUGAAGGACGUGCUAAUCUGCGAUAAGCGUCGGUAAGGUGAUAUGAACCGUUAUAACCGGCGAUUUCCGAAUGGGGAAACCCAGUGUGUUUCGACACACUAUCAUUAACUGAAUCCAUAGGUUAAUGAGGCGAACCGGGGGAACUGAAACAUCUAAGUACCCCGAGGAAAAGAAAUCAACCGAGAUUCCCCCAGUAGCGGCGAGCGAACGGGGAGCAGCCCAGAGCCUGAAUCAGUGUGUGUGUUAGUGGAAGCGUCUGGAAAGGCGCGCGAUACAGGGUGACAGCCCCGUACACAAAAAUGCACAUGCUGUGAGCUCGAUGAGUAGGGCGGGACACGUGGUAUCCUGUCUGAAUAUGGGGGGACCAUCCUCCAAGGCUAAAUACUCCUGACUGACCGAUAGUGAACCAGUACCGUGAGGGAAAGGCGAAAAGAACCCCGGCGAGGGGAGUGAAAAAGAACCUGAAACCGUGUACGUACAAGCAGUGGGAGCACGCUUAGGCGUGUGACUGCGUACCUUUUGUAUAAUGGGUCAGCGACUUAUAUUCUGUAGCAAGGUUAACCGAAUAGGGGAGCCGAAGGGAAACCGAGUCUUAACUGGGCGUUAAGUUGCAGGGUAUAGACCCGAAACCCGGUGAUCUAGCCAUGGGCAGGUUGAAGGUUGGGUAACACUAACUGGAGGACCGAACCGACUAAUGUUGAAAAAUUAGCGGAUGACUUGUGGCUGGGGGUGAAAGGCCAAUCAAACCGGGAGAUAGCUGGUUCUCCCCGAAAGCUAUUUAGGUAGCGCCUCGUGAAUUCAUCUCCGGGGGUAGAGCACUGUUUCGGCAAGGGGGUCAUCCCGACUUACCAACCCGAUGCAAACUGCGAAUACCGGAGAAUGUUAUCACGGGAGACACACGGCGGGUGCUAACGUCCGUCGUGAAGAGGGAAACAACCCAGACCGCCAGCUAAGGUCCCAAAGUCAUGGUUAAGUGGGAAACGAUGUGGGAAGGCCCAGACAGCCAGGAUGUUGGCUUAGAAGCAGCCAUCAUUUAAAGAAAGCGUAAUAGCUCACUGGUCGAGUCGGCCUGCGCGGAAGAUGUAACGGGGCUAAACCAUGCACCGAAGCUGCGGCAGCGACGCUUAUGCGUUGUUGGGUAGGGGAGCGUUCUGUAAGCCUGCGAAGGUGUGCUGUGAGGCAUGCUGGAGGUAUCAGAAGUGCGAAUGCUGACAUAAGUAACGAUAAAGCGGGUGAAAAGCCCGCUCGCCGGAAGACCAAGGGUUCCUGUCCAACGUUAAUCGGGGCAGGGUGAGUCGACCCCUAAGGCGAGGCCGAAAGGCGUAGUCGAUGGGAAACAGGUUAAUAUUCCUGUACUUGGUGUUACUGCGAAGGGGGGACGGAGAAGGCUAUGUUGGCCGGGCGACGGUUGUCCCGGUUUAAGCGUGUAGGCUGGUUUUCCAGGCAAAUCCGGAAAAUCAAGGCUGAGGCGUGAUGACGAGGUACUACGGUGCUGAAGCAACAAAUGCCCUGCUUCCAGGAAAAGCCUCUAAGCAUCAGGUAACAUCAAAUCGUACCCCAAACCGACACAGGUGGUCAGGUAGAGAAUACCAAGGCGCUUGAGAGAACUCGGGUGAAGGAACUAGGCAAAAUGGUGCCGUAACUUCGGGAGAAGGCACGCUGAUAUGUAGGUGAAGUCCCUUGCGGAUGGAGCUGAAAUCAGUCGAAGAUACCAGCUGGCUGCAACUGUUUAUUAAAAACACAGCACUGUGCAAACACGAAAGUGGACGUAUACGGUGUGACGCCUGCCCGGUGCCGGAAGGUUAAUUGAUGGGGUUAGCGGUAACGCGAAGCUCUUGAUCGAAGCCCCGGUAAACGGCGGCCGUAACUAUAACGGUCCUAAGGUAGCGAAAUUCCUUGUCGGGUAAGUUCCGACCUGCACGAAUGGCGUAAUGAUGGCCAGGCUGUCUCCACCCGAGACUCAGUGAAAUUGAACUCGCUGUGAAGAUGCAGUGUACCCGCGGCAAGACGGAAAGACCCCGUGAACCUUUACUAUAGCUUGACACUGAACAUUGAGCCUUGAUGUGUAGGAUAGGUGGGAGGCUUUGAAGUGUGGACGCCAGUCUGCAUGGAGCCGACCUUGAAAUACCACCCUUUAAUGUUU
rnacentral:rRNA from 1 species